CAAGAAAGUUUUCAAGUAAGUAUUUCUCACCAAUGACUUGAUCCAUGCCAAACACCCACUUUUGGAGGCAAAUAUAAUGUCUAGACCCUGACAUGGCCAAGGCUACCUGUAGCUCCACCAUCAAGCAAUGAAUCCUAUGAACUAGCUUGCAAAUUCAACUUGUUUCCACAAAAAAAGUAGAAAAACUAAUUGCUUAACAUUUUAUUUUUCUUCCAUAAUUUACAUUAGGAAGAUGCUCAAAUAUACCAUGAUAUGUUUCAACUGAAUGUGCAGGAGAAGUAUAAGGAUGCCAAGGAGGCGCCCCGGACGACGGAGGAGGUCGGCCGGGCCACGUGGAUGCUGCUUCACACCAUCGCAGGCUCGCAGUGCAGUUCCCUAACGAACCAACAAGGUGACAAAGACGGUAUGCAAAGGAGUUGACGCUACUGUAGGUGUCCACAGAUUAUUUUGGUGCACGGUUCUGCCGAUCCCUCUGCCCACCCACCGCCCCCUCUCCUCCCUGCCAUCAAUGCGACGCCUCACUUGUUUGGAGGUUGGCAUGUGGUGGACAGGCGACGAGCGUUCUUUGGUAGCCGCUCCGGUAGAAUAGCAAGCUAUCAGUGGUACUCUGUUUGUUUGGAUCAGAGGAAGCUCACGCAGAGGUCGGAGAGGGUGAAUUCCAUGGAUCUGCAUAUGACAUAGCCAUGGUGGUUAAAAUAAAAGUUAUCCGCAAUAGGCAAACAUGACAGUUAGAGGGGUAUGGAUUUGUUCAGUUCUUUUCUCAUGCAUUAGCAGAAAAGGCUCUUCAAGAUUUUUAUGGUCAUGUGAUGCCAAACCCUGACCAGGCAUCUAAGUUGAACUGGUAUCAUAUCGCAUGGGUGAAAAGCGAACAAUGCCAUAUCAGAUAAAAGCAGAUGGAGCUUCCGUAGGAGGUCUACAAGGCACCGAGUUUUGAAGAACUCUGAUAUCUCAGAACCUGAGACUCUUAGUUCCAGCAAAGCAAAGGCUGACAUUACACCGAGCAACAAUGUUUAUACUUCAACAUAUUCCUAUGCCUCGGAGAAGCCUCUGCAACAAGACAAGCCAGAUGAAGAAGGUAGUCCUAUACUCAUCAUAUGAAGAAGAUGGAGUAGAGAAAUCUGGAGGGGGCUCGUGGAGAUCCUGGGCCAUUAUUUGCAGACCAUAGUGACAGCUUGUUGGACCACUUGGGCACUUGGGUUACCAAUGGGGAGUAAUUCCACAACAUGAGUCUCCAACAAUGGGUCAUUUAAGUGAUUUAAGAUUCUGGCAUUUUAUUUUUAGCUACCAGGAAGCUGAGAAGGAAUGAUUUCAUCCAUGGGAUGAGAAGAAUGAUGGGUGCCUAGCCUCAUCGAGCUCUUUCACGAACAAUCCAUGUCAUCGACGUUGGUCAACAUAAGCUUGCUGAUGUUUUUUCAACCUAUGGACAGGUGUGUACUUCGUUUUCACUGGCAUACUUUUUUUAAUAAACUUCCAUUAUGUUAUUUUUCCUUAUCUAGAUGAACUGAUGUUCAGUUUGAUCCUUUUGUUUCUUUGCAAUACCAUACCUAUGUUUGCAAGUAUUUUUUGGGGAUCAUAAAUGCAAGUUCUUACCAAUGAAACAAGUAUUAGCACAGUUUGCCAAAUCUCAAUAGGUUAUCCUGUUUGUUCUGUGGAUCUGUCCCUAAUAACUCCCAAAUUAUACUGCCAUAAACUAUUUACAGUCCCUACCUUAGUGACUACAUCAUUUACAUAGAUAUGUUUGGAAAUGUCUUUGAGGGCACUUCUACUUUACACCAUUUUAUGAAAUGUAAUAUUAUGCUCCACUAUGUCUAUCGUUGUGCGGUUGGAGUUUCUAGAUGUUGAGGUGUGGCGUGUGCGAAUGUUUCAUGUUUUCCCUCUGGAGUGCAUGACUUAUUUUCCCUUGAUACCCUUAACUAAGAACUUGUUUACUUCUCAAGAUUAUUUUUAGUGUAUUUAUUAGUGCAAACUGUUGAUGUCUCUAUUUAGGAUUUUAUUUGAUGUGGUAGGUUACGUGGAUAAUUGUUUUCAGAAAGUUGUAUAGUUAAAUGCCUCAUGUGCUAUUAGUAGCUGGAGUUGGAAGGCAUCGAGAGAAUCAAGGAACAUGAGCAGGUUUCGUGAGGUGAUAGAGGGGCUGGCCAAGGAUCUGUCAGAAGGACUAACUGGAUUCUUCUAGGUAAGCAUGUUCAUGUCUUACAAUGAUUCCUUUGUAUAUGAUGAGUUCUGUUUUUUAGUAUUGCUGUUUUUCAACUUCUGAAAUGCUCUUAGAAUUAAUGUCUACCAUAAUUGCUUAUUUCCAUUAGCUAAGAACAAAAAAAUCAAUUUGUAAAAACAACAGUUGCAAUAGUAUAUUAGCAGAAAUACAUAAUAUUCCAAAAAAAAUCAAUUAGUAUUUUUGCAUAUCAAUGUAUAAAUAAUGGAUCACACAAGACUAAAAUACUCGAUCAUUCUAUUGUAUAGCGCACUCUUGUUCACAAAACAAACCACUUGUAGACACUGAGGUCAACCUUCCCUUGCUUCCUUGCCUAUUCUUCUACUAGAUCUUUUGUCUCCUCAUAACAAACCACUAAAUCUUCAAGUAUAACAUCAGUUUUCAGUUAACAGGUUACCAUUGGUGUUUUAUCUUUCAUAGAAGCUACAAAUGAGGUAGGACUCGAAUUAUCUAGCUGCAAAUCAUAUCUAUAGUGUAAAUGGCCUAGGACUCGAACUAUCUUUUAGUUCUUUUUGUCUCUUCUGCAUGAAGAUGUAGCUGAAGUUUUGUUUUAAUCUCUACUACACCAUAUGUUAGUACCGUGGGCGUCCACCACUUGGCUUCACCACACCUCCGCCCUCCCCCUCGCCCUCCCGCCAAUCUCGCAGCGGCGCCCGCCCCAUCCCCAUAGCCGUCACCAGCGCGGAUGAGUGUGCUGCCUGCAAGAAGACUGUGUACCCACUAGAGAAUGUAUGAACCAACCUUGUUUUCCUGCAGUCACAAUAUAUUGGUUUUGUUGUACACAUGUGUGGAAAUUUACUUGCCAAGGUUGUGGAAUUCAAAGCUACUUCUCAACUUUUAUUUAUGCAUAAAUCAAAGUAGAGUUUUUAUGCAUGCCCACUUGCAUCAUUUUAGUUCAUGGCAGACCACGAUUAAACCUUUUUAUGUUUCACAGGAUACACAUGCAUAUACUUUCCCUUUUAUGCAGGUGUACAUCUUGCUCGUCUGCUGAUCUCUGAAUGCACGAUUGUUGGGGGCCUUCGGCUUCCGAAGGUCCUCAAAAACAAGAUUUAACAGUGUUUCUGGAGUAUAAUGUGUG